rnacentral:ncRNA from 2 species
AAAGUAUCAAGAGUGAGGUGAGAGAAUUGGCUCUGUGACCCUCCGGCAACCAUUGUAGAAAAGGUGCCAAAUCCAACCCGUAAGGGGAAGAUAGUUU